GAUAGACAGGCCUUUUUCUGCUCCCUUUUUCCUCUGAUCUUUUCUCGGGCCAUGCAGGUCUGUUCUCACUGUUUGCUCAAGAAAGAGCUCAUGCGGACUUAUUUUCUGUUUUCUCUUUUUGACGUCAGUGCUUUCAGCAUGGUUAGACCUGAAGGACGUGGGAUUUAGGAUGAGGAAGCUCCAGCCCUUGAACCUUAGAGCUUUUCCAAUGGCUUCCAGUUAUGCCAAACAGCAGAAAGCCUGGAGAAGACAUCUGAAGGCUGGGCUUGGGGUGAAGAGGCAUUGCAUGAGGACAGGACAUUCCACGCCUGGCUGCUGAAUGGCUGUAGGAAGCAGUUUCUUCGGAUAGUUUUACAGCAUGCUGGUGGCCAGCAGGAUUGUUUGAAGGAGGAGAAACCUGCUUCAUGCAUCCCAUGUCCCUGCAUCUUCUGGAAGCUGGACAGGUUCCGCAGCUCUCGAGGCCCUCUCCAAGCAGGAGUCCUGGGCUGAUGGAAGUGGGCAGUGUCUUCUCCAGAAGCACCCAGCCAGGAGCCAGCUAACAAAAGAAAUCCAGAGAAGAGCAAAAAGCGUUGUGUUUAUGAAGAACAAUUGAACAGGCCAGACAUCUCCAGCCUGUGAGGGAUACAGCAGAGGUCUAUAAAAUCAUGAGUGGCCUGGAAAAAAAUGAAUUGAUUGCUGCUCUUACCUGUUUCCAGAAAAAGCACUUUCAGAAGAAACCAAAGGUGAAAAUGUCUUGUCACCUGGGCAAAGGAACUAACGUGAAAGAGCAAUCUCAGCUCCAGGAGCUCGUGUUCAAGAAGUGAAACGGAGCCAACAUCUGAUUAAGGCAGAUUCGGUCAGGUCAGGGAAAUGAGCUUCCCCAGGGACUUUCUACUGCUGCUGAAAGAGCUCAAGGUUUAAGACUCCUAUCUGCCCCACAGAAACAGAAAUGAUGGGAAUGUGGUUGCCACAGAUGAGCUCCCUUUCUUAAAGAUCACAUAGGAGGAGACCCUUCUACUCUUGUGCAGGGCUGGGGGACAUCAGCCUGAAGCCUGCUGACUUCUUCAAGGCACAAGAUGACCCAGCUACCUGGAAGAGAAACAACAGAGUCUCAGGAGAAUGUGGGCAGCAAGGGGUUUUCUUGAAGAUGCUCACAGCAGAGAACCCUCCAAGUAUGGAGUAAAAAGCCAGUUCUGUACUGUAAAGCAAUAGAUUCCAGCAGCCAAAGAGGGAAAAGAAAUGAUUGCCAACGUGCUUUCCCUCCAGCAAGCUGGAAAGUAAAUUUGAAACUGAGUGUGAACAGUAAGCAGCUCGUGUGGUGAGUCAGAGUGAGGUCUUGCAUUAGAAUUGAAAAGUCAUAGUGUACAUUUCUGCUCAUGAGUGAAACCUGGACUUCCUUUUCAGUGCCUUCUUAGGACAUGCCAGCCCUGUCAGCAGUCAUGGCCUGGUCUUAGAAAUGAAACUUAUUUUGUUAGGCCCUGCCUUGGGUCACUGCCCAUGGCGGCCUGUCUCUUUUGCAUCGUGCCAUCUUCACUUGUGGGAGCAAUGGGCUUGGUUUUGGAUCUCGUUCUAACCACUGUUUAUGCAGCCACCUCCUUGUGCCAAACCAAGCUGGACUCCAAGGCCACGUCUGUGCUCUCUGGAACAGCACUGGUGCAAUCUUGGUGAGUAACACUGCUUCCCAAGCCAGCUUGGCUGGAAAGCAGCUUCCCAGGCUUUUUUGUGCAGGCAGCCAGUUAAGAUGUUACCCAGAGCCUGCUGGACUAUUCCAGCUACCAGAUCUUACUGUAGACAGUCUACAGGAAGGUGAUUUCUAUGCUUUCUCUGUUCGUAGUUAUCCUAUAAAUACAUUGGUCUGGAUUAUCUAUGUUUUUUCAAGUCCUCUCAAGGCAUUACUGUACAAGUAGUAAAAGUUAUCAAAACUAACUAAAAAGCUUAACUUUGUUGACCUCUCCCACCCUUUGUGCUCCAACAGGGCACUUUUCCCCCUGUGUCCCC
ensembl:lncRNA